GGCUUCGUAGCUCAGCUGGUAAAGCGCUUCCGUGCUGAGGCAUGGUGUUUCUGUUGCUGGGUCGAAUCCAGCCGAAGCCC